AGAGACUCUUCACUGAGACUCAGGGCACUGGGCAGGGAAUCCCGGUCCUCAAACUUACCCUAACCAAACACUUUCAACUGGUCUGGAUUGCUGGAUUCACGUGGUCGUCUCUUUCAUCAGCCCAGCUGACUAGAGUGGGGACUUAGGCUCUCCUCUACCAAUCCGCCCUCCUCAACCAGAAAGUCUGCUAGGGAGAUGAUCUUCCCUUCUUACCUGUCUCUUUUGCUGUAGCCAUCAUGCUAUGCAGUGAAAUCUCUUUUCUGGCACCUAUGGCCCUGAGUGUCAAUGACAAAUCUCGAGGCAUAAAUAGCUGUGGAAAAAAAGCCUUUAUCCUAUUGGCCUGUGGAGAACUACUGAACAGCCAUGAAGAUCUUCCUUUUCCUAGUUCUCAUCGAAGCUACUGGUGAGUCCUUCAAAAGAAUUCAUCAGCGGAGAUAUACAUUGCACAUAAAUGUGGGCUUUGUGUUUAGAAAUCAACAAUGGUUGUUGAAUAUAAGGUCUGAAAGCAAGAUGG